rnacentral:rRNA from 1 species
GAUGAACGCUGGCGGCAUGCCUAAUACAUGCAAGUCGAACGAGAGGAAGGAAAGCUUGCUUUUCUGAAUCUAGUGGCGAACGGGUGAGUAACACGUAGGUAACCUGCCCAUGUGCCCGGGAUAACUUCUGGAAACGGAUGCUAAAACCGGAUAGGUAGCAGACAAGCAUUUGACUGCUAUUAAAGUGGCUAAGGCCAUGAACAUGGAUGGACCUGCGGUGCAUUAGCUAGUUGGUGAGGUAACGGCCCACCAAGGCGACGAUGCAUAGCCGGCCUGAGAGGGCGGACGGCCACAUUGGGACUGAGACACGGCCCAAACUCCUACGGGAGGCAGCAGUAGGGAAUUUUCGUCAAUGGGGGGAACCCUGAACGAGCAAUGCCGCGUGAGUGAAGAAGGUCUUCGGAUCGUAAAGCUCUGUUGUAAGAGAAAAACGACAUUCAUAGGGAAUGAUGAGUGAGUGAUGGUAUCUUACCAGAAAGUCACGGCUA